ensembl:misc_RNA Metazoa_SRP Metazoan signal recognition particle RNA
GCCGGGCGUGGUGGCGGGCGCCUGUAGUCCCAGCUACUCGGGAGGCUGAGGCAGGAGAAUGGCGUGAACCCGGGAGGCGGAGCUUGCAGUGAGCCGAGAUCGCGCCACCGCUCUCCAGCCUGGGCGAUACAGCGGGACGGCUGGGCGAUACAGCCGGACGGCUGGAGUGCGGUGGCGCGAUCUCGGCUCACUGCAAGCUCCGCCUCCCGGGUUCACGCCAUUCUCCUGUCUCAG